CCUACGGGUGGCAGCAGUGAGGAAUAUUGGUCAAUGGCCGGAAGGCUGAACCAGCCAAGCCGCGUGAAGGACGAAGGUGCCAAGCAUUGUAAACUUCUUUUGUCAAGGGACAAAAUCAGGCUCGAGAGCCUGACCGAGGGUGCUUGAAGAGAAAGCAUCGGCAAACUCCGUGCCAGAAGCCGCGGUAAUACGGAGGAUGUGAGCGUUAUCCGGGUUUAUUGGGUGUAAAGGGGGCGUGGGGGGGCUGUUAGGUCAGCGGGAAAAGCCCGGGGCCCAACGCCGGCGAGCCGUUGAAACUGGUUGUCUUGAGAGGUCGAGAGGUAGGCGGAAUGCGUAGUGUAGCGGUGAAAUGCUUAGAUAUUGCGCAGAACUCCGAUUGCGAAGGCAGCAUACCGGCGGCGAUCUGACGCUGAGGCACGAAAGCGUGGGUAUCGAACAGGAUUAGAUACCCCAGUAGUC
rnacentral:rRNA from 1 species